UCUUCCGUAGUAUAGUGGUCAGUAUGUGAGCUUGUCAUCUAAUAGACGAUUCGCUCGAGACCCGGGUUCAAUUCCCGGCGGGAGAG